AAAUUUCACGUGGGGUCUGAAGAGUAUGGUGUGUACUCCCUCACUUAUGAAGGUAUAGAUGUUAUACUUGACUCAGACAGAGGAGAGUGGAAUUUCAUGUGUAAGGGUGAAAUCUGGAGAUCUACGAAGGAACGCCAAAAGCGAAGGCAGCUCUCUCGUCCCUACCGACGCUGAGGUGCGAAAGCACGGGGAGCGAGCAGGGUUUGUAGUCCAUGCCGUAAACGAUGAGUGUUCUUAUUACAUUUUUACUAUUGAGACAUUAUAAAAUUCUUG
rnacentral:ncRNA from 1 species